AUUAUACUCUAAAGCAAUGCCACUCAAAGAGUGGCCAUCGACUGGUACAUGUCCACAAGAUAAGUGCAGAAACUGAGUACCCUGGACACUCAUCACCUGUGAAUGAUGAGCAGGGACCUUCUUCCUCAGAUUUGUGCACGCUGGAUCUUCUGAAGCAAAGGCUCGUCAAGAAGGAAAAGGAGCUUUCUCGUGCCUCGUUGCCACCACCUACUGAGAGAAAUACCGUGGCUUGUUCAGCCAGACUCUCCCUGGAAGUUUGUGCUCUGUGAAAAGGUUUGCACGCAGAGGCCAACUUCAGUGUGUACACUACAGCCAAACCGGGUGUGCUCGGAGCUCCUCCUGAAUUAAAGUCCACCGACUGUCUUCCAACCAGAUUUGAGCUCCAGAAAAAUGAAGGCAAGCUGGGGAGAAGGGGAAGAUAGCCUUUGGUGCUUCUCACCAGCAUUUCCGCUAAAGCGCUUCUCCAACAUUCCAGCGCCUUUGUCUCCAGCACCACCCACCCUUGUAUACAGAGGGAAACAAUGGAAUAUCUGUGUUGCUGUUUGUCUCAUCCCAAUCAUGUAUGCCAGCCCAGAAAAGCCCUUCCACUCUGACAUACACGCCUGGCCAGGAAUAAAUAAU
rnacentral:lncRNA from 1 species